rnacentral:rRNA from 1 species
UACGUAGGGUGCAAGCGUUAAUCGGAAUUACUGGGCGUAAAGCGUGCGCAGGCGGUUUUUGUAAGUCUGUCGUGAAAUCCCCCGGGCUCAACCUGGGAAUUGCGAUGGAGACUGCAAGGCUAGAAUCUGGCAGAGGGGGGGUAGAAUUCCACGUGUAGCAGUGAAAUGCGUAGAGAUGUGGAGGAACACCGAUGGCGAAGGCAGCCCCCCUGGGUCAAGAUUGACGCUCAUGCACGAAAGCGUGGGGAGCGAACAGG